rnacentral:ncRNA from 3 species
UACCACAUCCAAGGAAGGCAGC